CGGUCUCUUGCCUCGCUCAAUCCGCUGUUCCCACUUGGCGGAUUUCGAGCUGGAUACACACAUACUCUUUUUUUGUUUCUUUUUUCAAAUAGAGACAUGUGUGUACGAGACAAGACUAAAUGCGACGAUUUUUGAGUACGGAACCGCCUGAUUCCAUGUGUCGGACCUCCGUAAUUUAUCUGUCGGGACAUGC
rnacentral:snoRNA from 1 species